UUAUGGCCAUAUCAUGUUGAAAAACCGGUUCUCAUACCAACAACGAAGUUAAGCAAAGUCGAGCAUGGUCAGUACCUAAAUGGGUGACCACUUGAGAAUACCAGGUACUGUAAG